GAUGAACGCUGGCGGCGUGCCUAAUACAUGCAAGUCGAGCGAACAGACGAGGAGCUUGCUCCUCUGACGUUAGCGGCGGACGGGUGAGUAACACGUGGAUAGCCUACCUAUAAGACUGGGAUAACUUCGGGAAACCGGAGCUAAUACCGGAUAAUAUAUUGAACCGCAUGGUUCAAUAGUGAAAGACGGUUUUGCUGUCACUUAUAGAUGGAUCCGCGCCGCAUUAGCUAGUUGGUAAGGCAACGGCUUACCAAGGCAACGAUGCGUAGCCGACCUGAGAGGGUGAUCGGCCACACUGGAACUGAGACACGGUCCAGACUCCUACGGGAGGCAGCAGUAGGGAAUCUUCCGCAAUGGGCGAAAGCCUGACGGAGCAACGCCGCGUGAGUGAUGAAGGUCUUCGGAUCGUAAAACUCUGUUAUUAGGGAAGAACAAAUGUGUAAGUAACUAUGCACGUCUUGACGGUACCUAAUCAGAAAGCCACGGCUAACUACGUG
rnacentral:rRNA from 1 species